rnacentral:rRNA from 1 species
UACGUAGGGUGCGAGCGUUGUCCGGAUUUAUUGGGCGUAAAGAGCUCGUAGGCGGUUUGUCGCGUCGGCCGUGAAAUCUCCACGCUUAACGUGGAGCGUGCGGUCGAUACGGGCAGACUUGAGUUCGGUAGGGGGAGACUGGAAUUCCUGGAUGUAGCGGUGAAAUGCGCAGAUAUCAGGAGGAACACCGGUGGCGAAGGCGGGGUCUCUGGGGCCGAUACUGACGCUGAGGAGCGAAAGCGUGGGGAGCGAACAGG